CAUAACUUUAAACCAGCUUUAUACAUUACAAGUCUCAAACGUUGAUAAAUUUCCACGAAAACUUACGAACAUUGUUUUUCUAGCUGUUAAACACGAAACAGACAUUAAAGUUCGGGUAUUUGCCACAAAUUAAUUGUGACGCUUGCUUACUAUGGAAACCCCCACGAAGAAGUCAUUGUAAAGAAUGAGCAUUUAAAAGAUAAUAAUUUACAUACCAUAACUCACCCAUAACACGAAACAGAUUAAAUACAGAAAACCCCACGAGUUUAUACCUAAUAUCUACUCUGUUUAAACACCAACAUCCAAAUGUUUUUACCUGUUUUAAACUUAGCAAAAAUGAAUUUAAAACGUAUGCAAAAUAGGUAAAAAAAAUGCUAGUAAAGGGCAAAGUGAUGCAACAGAUUGUUUUCGCUUUGGUUUAAUUUUAAUGCCAACUGCCGGACGUUUGCAAAACACGUGUAAUUAAUGAUUGUUGCUGAAGGUUUUUCGGGCUUAACGGUGUAUACCAAAG